GGGGAUGUUCUGGCAUUCGCUUUAAGUUUUGUUGGUAUAUUAAGCAUGUAUGGUUGUUCCAUUAAAAAACAAAAAAAGUUAUAAACGCAAAAACUUAUAACACUGGUGCUUACACACCAACUUUCGCUUACUAAGAUUUGUAAGCAAAUUAGUUUCAGUUGCUAAUUGCAGAGCUAAUUAUCUAAAUUAGAUAUAUCUAUUAACUUUACCUAGAUAGACGAAUCAAAGGCAAAUUGUAUUACUUCAGUUGUUGGUUUAUGGAGAUAAUAUGAAAUUACAAACUAACUAAACAUGUAGAAAGGUGUAUGGGCUAACUUAAAUACAGGGGUUCAACUCCCCUCAUCUCCACCA
rnacentral:tmRNA from 1 species